UACGGAGGGAGCUAGCGUUUUUCGGAAUUACUGGGCGUAAAGAGUGCGCAGGCGGUUUAUUAAGUUAAAAGUGAAAUCCCAAAGCUUAACUUUGGAAUUGCUUUUAAAACUGAUUAACUUGAGAGCGGUAGAGGAUAGUAGAAUUCCUAGUGUAGAGGUGAAAUUCUUAGAUAUUAGGAGGAAUACCGGUGGCGAAAGCGACUAUCUGGACCGCAUCUGACGCUCAUGCACGAAAGCGUGGGGAGCAAAC
rnacentral:rRNA from 1 species